AAGAUUGACGAUUGGUAAGUUAGAGCACACGCUUGAUAAGCGUGGGGUCACAAGUUCAAGUCUUGUCAGACCCACCA
rnacentral:tRNA from 1 species